rnacentral:rRNA from 1 species
CCUACGGGUGGCAGCAGUGAGGAAUAUUGGUCAAUGGACGAGAGUCUGAACCAGCCAAGUAGCGUGAAGGAUGACUGCCCUAUGGGUUGUAAACUUCUUUUAUAUGGGAAUAAAAUGUUCCACGUGUGGGCUUUUGUAUGUACCAUAUGAAUAAGGAUCGGCUAACUCCGUGCCAGCAGCCGCGGUAAUACGGAGGAUCCGAGCGUUAUCCGGAUUUAUUGGGUUUAAAGGGAGCGUAGGUGGAUUGUUAAGUCAGUUGUGAAAGGUUGCGGCUCAACCGUAAAAUUGCAGUUGAAACUGGCAGUCUAGAGUACAGUAGAGGUAGGCGGAAUUCGUGGUGUAGCGGUGAAAUGCUUAGAUAUCACGAAGAACUCCGAUUGCGAAGGCAGUUCACUGGACUGCAACUGACGCUGAGGCUCGAAAGUGUGGGUAGCAAACAGGAUUAGAUACCCUUGUAGUC